rnacentral:rRNA from 1 species
GGGUUGUGAGGUUAAGCGACUAAGCGUACACGGUGGAUGCCCUGGCAGUCAGAGGCGAUGAAGGACGUGCUAAUCUGCGAUAAGCGUCGGUAAGGUGAUAUGAACCGUUAUAACCGGCGAUUUCCGAAUGGGGAAACCCAGUGUGUUUCGACACACUAUCAUUAACUGAAUCCAUAGGUUAAUGAGGCGAACCGGGGGAACUGAAACAUCUAAGUACCCCGAGGAAAAGAAAUCAACCGAGAUUCCCCCAGUAGCGGCGAGCGAACGGGGAGCAGCCCAGAGCCUGAAUCAGUAUGUGUGUUAGUGGAAGCGUCUGGAAAGGCGCGCGAUACAGGGUGACAGCCCCGUACACAAAAAUGCACAUGCUGUGAGCUCGAUGAGUAGGGCGGGACACGUGGUAUCCUGUCUGAAUAUGGGGGGACCAUCCUCCAAGGCUAAAUACUCCUGACUGACCGAUAGUGAACCAGUACCGUGAGGGAAAGGCGAAAAGAACCCCGGCGAGGGGAGUGAAAAAGAACCUGAAACCGUGUACGUACAAGCAGUGGGAGCACGCUUAGGCGUGUGACUGCGUACCUUUUGUAUAAUGGGUCAGCGACUUAUAUUCUGUAGCAAGGUUAACCGAAUAGGGGAGCCGAAGGGAAACCGAGUCUUAACUGGGCGUUAAGUUGCAGGGUAUAGACCCGAAACCCGGUGAUCUAGCCAUGGGCAGGUUGAAGGUUGGGUAACACUAACUGGAGGACCGAACCGACUAAUGUUGAAAAAUUAGCGGAUGACUUGUGGCUGGGGGUGAAAGGCCAAUCAAACCGGGAGAUAGCUGGUUCUCCCCGAAAGCUAUUUAGGUAGCGCCUCGUGAAUUCAUCUCCGGGGGUAGAGCACUGUUUCGGCAAGGGGGUCAUCCCGACUUACCAACCCGAUGCAAACUGCGAAUACCGGAGAAUGUUAUCACGGGAGACACACGGCGGGUGCUAACGUCCGUCGUGAAGAGGGAAACAACCCAGACCGCCAGCUAAGGUCCCAAAGUCAUGGUUAAGUGGGAAACGAUGUGGGAAGGCCCAGACAGCCAGGAUGUUGGCUUAGAAGCAGCCAUCAUUUAAAGAAAGCGUAAUAGCUCACUGGUCGAGUCGGCCUGCGCGGAAGAUGUAACGGGGCUAAACCAUGCACCGAAGCUGCGGCAGCGACGCUGAUGCGUUGUUGGGUAGGGGAGCGUUCUGUAAGCCUGCGAAGGUGUGCUGUGAGGCAUGCUGGAGGUAUCAGAAGUGCGAAUGCUGACAUAAGUAACGAUAAAGCGGGUGAAAAGCCCGCUCGCCGGAAGACCAAGGGUUCCUGUCCAACGUUAAUCGGGGCAGGGUGAGUCGACCCCUAAGGCGAGGCCGAAAGGCGUAGUCGAUGGGAAACAGGUUAAUAUUCCUGUACUUGGUGUUACUGCGAAGGGGGGACGGAGAAGGCUAUGUUGGCCGGGCGACGGUUGUCCCGGUUUAAGCGUGUAGGCUGGUUUUCCAGGCAAAUCCGGAAAAUCAAGGCUGAGGCGUGAUGACGAGGCACUACGGUGCUGAAGCAACAAAUGCCCUGCUUCCAGGAAAAGCCUCUAAGCAUCAGGUAACAUCAAAUCGUACCCCAAACCGACACAGGUGGUCAGGUAGAGAAUACCAAGGCGCUUGAGAGAACUCGGGUGAAGGAACUAGGCAAAAUGGUGCCGUAACUUCGGGAGAAGGCACGCUGAUAUGUAGGUGAGGUCCCUCGCGGAUGGAGCUGAAAUCAGUCGAAGAUACCAGCUGGCUGCAACUGUUUAUUAAAAACACAGCACUGUGCAAACACGAAAGUGGACGUAUACGGUGUGACGCCUGCCCGGUGCCGGAAGGUUAAUUGAUGGGGUUAGCGCAAGCGAAGCUCUUGAUCGAAGCCCCGGUAAACGGCGGCCGUAACUAUAACGGUCCUAAGGUAGCGAAAUUCCUUGUCGGGUAAGUUCCGACCUGCACGAAUGGCGUAAUGAUGGCCAGGCUGUCUCCACCCGAGACUCAGUGAAAUUGAACUCGCUGUGAAGAUGCAGUGUACCCGCGGCAAGACGGAAAGACCCCGUGAACCUUUACUAUAGCUUGACACUGAACAUUGAGCCUUGAUGUGUAGGAUAGGUGGGAGGCUUAGAAGUGUGGACGCCAGUCUGCAUGGAGCCGACCUUGAAAUACCACCCUUUAAUGUUUGAUGUUCUAACGUUGACCCGUAAUCCGGGUUGCGGACAGUGUCUGGUGGGUAGUUUGACUGGGGCGGUCUCCUCCUAAAGAGUAACGGAGGAGCACGAAGGUUGGCUAAUCCUGGUCGGACAUCAGGAGGUUAGUGCAAUGGCAUAAGCCAGCUUGACUGCGAGCGUGACGGCGCGAGCAGGUGCGAAAGCAGGUCAUAGUGAUCCGGUGGUUCUGAAUGGAAGGGCCAUCGCUCAACGGAUAAAAGGUACUCCGGGGAUAACAGGCUGAUACCGCCCAAGAGUUCAUAUCGACGGCGGUGUUUGGCACCUCGAUGUCGGCUCAUCACAUCCUGGGGCUGAAGUAGGUCCCAAGGGUAUGGCUGUUCGCCAUUUAAAGUGGUACGCGAGCUGGGUUUAGAACGUCGUGAGACAGUUCGGUCCCUAUCUGCCGUGGGCGCUGGAGAACUGAGGGGGGCUGCUCCUAGUACGAGAGGACCGGAGUGGACGCAUCACUGGUGUUCGGGUUGUCAUGCCAAUGGCACUGCCCGGUAGCUAAAUGCGGAAGAGAUAAGUGCUGAAAGCAUCUAAGCAUGAAACUUGCCCCGAGAUGAGUUCUCCCUGACCCUUUAAGGGUCCUGAAGGAACGUUGAAGACGACGACGUUGAUAGGCCGGGUGUGUAAGCGCAGCGAUGCGUUGAGCUAACCGGUACUAAUGAACCGUGAGGCUUAACCUUACAACGCCGAAGCUGUU